rnacentral:lncRNA from 1 species
UUCGACGAUCGGCUCUGUCAGGCAUGAUGACGCUAUUAGAACUAUUUAGAAACCAAAUUUCAUAAUUUUUUUAUUACGUUUGCCUAGUGAACGAGUGGCCUCAAAUGAACGGCUAAAAAUAAAAAUCUCAUAAAAAAUAAUGAUAAAAGAAUCAAAUUUCAAAUCGAAAGUAUUGUUCUUACUCCUGAUGUUAAGUAGAAUUUUCUAUUAAAGUUUCAUAUAAUUUGGAUUCUUCUACACUGUUGAACUUACAAAUUAACGUGCCACAUCGGCCAUUAAAAUAGUCAAUUUUGAGACUCUUUGAUCACUUCGUAAACGAUGUCGAAAAAUUAUAAAAUUUGAUUUCUAAAGUGAAAAACCGUUGAACCACAUGGGUGGGAUUUGAAGUCUUCCCUUUAAAUAAAACUAGUUAAGGGAUCUGCGCGAUGAUGCGGGUAGUUAUUUUAAAAUUUAAUUUUAAAAAUUAGUUAUAAAAAUUAAUUUCAGAAUUUAAAUGGUGUAAUAAGUACAUUAAAAAGUUUUAGUAAGCAUAGUAGUCUCCCAUUAGUUAGUGAAAUAAUUUUAGUAGGUAUCGUAGUCCCCCAGUAGUUAGUAAAUGAGAAGAGAAAUCAUGCUGCGGUUAGUUAUUUUAAAAUUUAAUUUUGAAAAUUAGUUAUAAAAAUUAAUUUCAGAAUAAUUAUGAAAUAUUACGGACACGCCGUGCCGCGCCGCCCCCCAGACGCGCCUCGGCUUUUUUUUUAGCGCCGAGAACCACCACCACCGGACCACCCAACGUGCCCCAGGUGCUCCUGUUUCACCGGAGCACCUGGUAUACUCUCCCUCCAGGUGCCACCUGGAAGGAGAGUAAGAGAGAGAGAGAGAGAGAUAUCUAUAUAUAUAUAUAUUAAAAUAAAUAUAUUAUAUAUAUAUUAAAUAAAUAUUUAUAUAUAAAUACAUAAUAUAUAUCAUAAAAUAUAUAUACAUUUAUAUUUUAAAAUAAAUAUUUAUAUAUAAAUAAAUAAAUAUAUCAUAAAAUAAAAAUAUAUCUAUAUAAUAAUAUAUUAUUAAAUAAUAUAUUAAAUGAUAAAUAAAAAUAUUUUACAUUUGAUAUAUUUAUUUACAAUUUAUUAAAUCUGAUAACCAUAAUCUAUAUGAAUAACGUAAUGCUAUGGAUGAUUUUUAAUAAAGUGAUUGAUGACCCCCUGAUGCUAUGGAUGAUUUUUAAUAAAGAAUAAUGUAAUCCUUUCUAUUGACGUAAAUAAAUUUUAAUAAAGCAUNAAAGAUAUGAGGUUAGAGUGUAAAGAAAAAUAAUAUCAACUAGCGACGGGUAGGGAGAAAGAAAGAAAUUAGACAUAUUAUGAUUACAUCAAUCCAUUCAUAUGAGAAUACCCACGCUCUCCCAAGGGAAUGAGGUUAAUUAGUACUUUGGGAUGAAUCUCAAUCCCAAGUAAAUCUAAUAUUACCAACUAGAUUACUUAGUGCGUUUAAUCAAACACCGUCAUAUUUUUUUAUUCCUAUUGAAUUACUAGAAAUCUUAAAAAGAUAGCGCGAACCAAACACACCCUUAAGUUUAAUAAAAUGUAUUGUAUUGCACUAUACAUUCUAAAACUCUAUUAGCUGAAUUAUAUUGUGCUAGACAUGGUUUAUCAUGAUCCAAUGCUUUAUCAUGAACCGAACAUCUCCCAUGGGAGUCACCAUACGGUUUCUAGCUUCGAAAGAAGUAAUCCAAACAUUUACAUCUGUGAAACCCCAACGAAGUUUUUUUGAAGAAUCCAAGUAGCGCCACACUAAUCCAUAGGAUAUAUUAUUUCUGGGAGGUUCCUGGGCAGGAUGGUAUCCAUCAAACUUUUAAAGUUUCGGCAAAACCAUUUAUAUGUAAUUCUUCAAUGUUUUCAUCUCAUUCAUCUUUUUUUAAUUGUUUAUUUACAGCGCAUGUUACGUAGCUUAAACUGAGACAAAACCGCAAGCAUGCAUAACAGGUAAAGACUUUUUUUAAUAAUAUAUAUAUAUAUAGAGAGAGAGAGGGUUGGGCUUUUGUGCUUUCGAAAGCACGAAAGCCUCCGUGCUUGCAAGUUCUUUUCAAUUAUAGAACAUCGGAUUCGACGAUCGGCUCUGUCAGGCAUGAUGACGCUAUUAGAACUAUUUAGAAACCAAAUUUCAUAAUUUUUUUAUUACGUUUGCCUAGUGAACGAGUGGCCUCAAAUGAACGGCUAAAAAUAAAAAUCUCAUAAAAAAUAAUGAUAAAAGACUCAAAUUUCAAAUCGGAAGUAUUGUUCUUACUCUUGAUGUUAAGUAGAAUUUUCUAUUAAAAUUUCAUGUAAUUUGGAUACUUCUACACUGCUAAACUUAAAAAUGUGCUACAUCGGCCGUUAAAAUAGUCAUUUUUUGAGACCCUUUGAUCGCCUGGUAAAUGAUAUUGAAAAAUUAUUAAAAUUUGAUUCUUAAAGUAAAAAACCGUUGAACCACAUGGUGGGAUUUGAAGUCUUCCCUUUAAAUAAAACUAGUUAAGGGAUCUGCGAGCGGAAUCGGGGUAGUUAUUUAAAAAUUAAUUUAAAAAUUAGUUAUAAAAAUAAUUUCAGAAUUAAAUGGUGUAAUAAGUACAUUAAAAGUUUUAGUAAGCAUAGGUAGUCUCCAAUUAGUUAGUGAAAUAAUUUAGUAGUAUCGUAGUCCCUGAGUAUGUUAGUAAAUGAAAGAGAAAUCAUGCUGCGGUUAGUUAUUUUAAAAUUUAAUUUGAAAAUUAGUUAUAAAAUUAAUUUCAGAAUAAUAUGAAAUAUUACGGAUACGAAAUAAUUUAAAUAAAUGCA